rnacentral:lncRNA from 1 species
CCUUGUUCUGUUGUUUUUGAAUUCUUCUUCUCUUUGUGGAUUUUCACUACUUCAUCCAUCUGUUUCCAUAAUUCAGGAUCAUCCCACUCAUCUUCAUCUUCAUUCUUCUGUAGUUUAUUCAUAAAAAUUAGAUAUGAUGCAAUGAUGUAGUAAAUGAUGCAAUAAUAAUUAGAUAUGAUGCAAUAAAAAUUAGAUAUGAUGCAAUGAUGUAAUAAAAAUUAGAUAUGAUGCAAUUUCAAAUAAAGGUACCUCUGCUUGUCCUUUGGAACAAUCAUUUUCUUUUUUGGAACAAUCGAUUUCUUUUAAAAUUUCUCUAAUUGGAGGGACAAGUGAUCCAACUCCAAAAACUCCAUCAGUUACUUCCAUUCUCUGUCUUUCCUUCAAUUCAUCGUGUGUCCAGCCAAUAUACGAAGGCAAUGUUCUCUCAACCAGUUUUAUUCCCAUAUGCCUUA